CUCCUCUCCGUGUGUCGUCGUUGCAGUUCUACAGAGUAGUUUGACUCUGGCUCGAGACACGCUGGCGGCGUGCUUAACACAUGCAAGUCGAACGGAAAGGCCCCUGCUUGCAGGGGUACUCGAGUGGCGAACGGGUGAGUAACACGUGGGUGAUCUGCCCUUCACUUCGGGAUAAGCCUGGGAAACUGGGUCUAAUACCGGAUAGGACCAAUCUUUAGUGUGGUUGGUGGAAAGUUUUUUCGGUGGAGGAUGAGCCCGCGGCCUAUCAGCUUGUUGGUGGGGUAAUGGCCUACCAAGGCGACGACGGGUAGCCGGCCUGAGAGGGUGGACGGCCACAUUGGGACUGAGACACGGCCCAGACUCCUACGGGAGGCAGCAGUGGGGAAUAUUGCACAAUGGGCGGAAGCCUGAUGCAGCGACGCCGCGCGAGGGGUGACGGCCUUCGGGUUGUAAACCUCUUUCGCUAGGGAAGAAGCCUUCGGGUGACGGUACCUGGAUAAGAAGCACCGGCUAACUACGUG
rnacentral:rRNA from 1 species